GUAAAUGUUAGUAUCACCACUAUCUUGAACAUAUUAUAUAUAAGGUAUUUUCAUAAUUGCUAUUCAGUAAUUUUUCUUUUUCAUGUUUCUAUUGUUCAUUAUUUUCUUCUGAUUUUGAAUUUAGUGUUAAUUCUGGUCCACAACGUCAACUCUUCUGAUAAGAUGCCUCUUGGUCUCUGAUUUUUAAUGUAGGCUGUCUUUAGAUUGACACAACUAGAUAGAGUAGCAGAGUAUUUAUCACAUCAUAUUAGGGAGCAUCAUGAAUAAUGAGUUGGUUGAUAUGGAUUCUAUAGCAUAGCCAUACCAACAUCGCUCACUUUUAACCUUACAACUUCAUCUAAUACUUUUAGAAGGACCCUGAAGGUGAUGGGAGUUCUGCCGUGCACAUUUAUUGCAAAGAAUUGAAUAACCUCAUGUUGGAGGUUUUGAAAAGAGGGCUGAGAAUGAAGGAAAAUGGAGUGUUGGUAUCUGACAAGACCAUGUAGAGGAAGCUGCAAAAGUUUUGGAGCCACUAAGGGCACCCAACUCUUAUACUAAGAUAACUCUUAUACUAAGAUAGUUUUGGCUUGAAGCUGCUCGCAUUGUUGAAUUCCAUUCAAAUGUCAAACUGGACAGAAGCUCUUGAAGUGAUGAUUAUAUUCCCUUUUGUACUAGAAGAUUAUGUUUGAAGUUAUCUUAGCCUGUUUUUCAUGAUCUAACCAAAGAUAGAGUGGUAACUUAUAAUAUGCGGUCAAACUUUUUUAAGUAGUUCUAUUAUUUUAAAUGUUUUACCUGCUUAAUUUU